CAGGUUGCUGAAGUGGUGAUUUUAAUCCAAAAGCAUUCUUUCUUCAUUGCUACCACCAGUGAAGUUGUACCAAUGAUGGAGCUUUAAGAAAAACACCAAGUAUCAUGAUACUCGAAAUAAGAUCACAAGAGUCAUCAACACUGAAUUUGACCUGAUUAGUUCACUAGAAUCCACUGAUUACUGAAGAUUGCAAGCUGUGUGUGGGAGCCAACUUUUGACUAUGUUAAAAUUAUUUCCUUCAAUUUUGUAUUCUCAAUAUUCUGUGAGAAAGGAAAAGUACAACUGUACAGCCUAAAUAUUUUCUCCCUCAGAAAGCACAUGUAUUAGUGUGUUUUAUUAUAUAUUGGUAAUUUCAGUGUGCAUAUUUAAUCUUAGUGUUAUUAACAUCUAAUUGUAACAGAUAUUGCAAUCAUAUGCAAUAUCUUUGCAGGCUAUACUGUAUUACAGUUAUGAAUGAUUUAUAGAAUCAUAGAAAUGUUGGACUGGAAGGGACCUUGUUAGGUCAUCUAGUCCAGUCCCCUGCACUGGAGGUAGGGCUAAGGCAGGGGUUCUCAAAUGGAGUCGUGACCCUCAGGGGGUCACCAGGUUAUUAAAUGGGGAGUCACAAGCUGUUAGCCUCCACCCCAAACACAGCUUCACCUCCAGCAUUUAUAAUAGCAUUAACUAUUAAAAAAAAAGUGUUUUUAAUUUAUGGAGGAGGGUGGCAUUCAGAGGUUUGCUGUGUGAAAGGGGUCACCAGUACAAAAGUUUGAGAACCACUAGGCUAAGUAUUAUCUAGACCAUCCCUGACAAGUGUUUGUUUAAACUGUUCUUAAAAACCUCCAAUGACAGAGAUUCCACAACCUUCCUACGUAAUGUGUUCCAAUGUUUAACUACCCUGACAGUUAGGAAACUUUUAAUGUCUAACCUAAAUCUCCCUUGCUGCAAUGUAAGCCCAUUACUUCUUAUCCUGUCCUUAGCAGUUACAGAGAACAAUUUAUCACUCUUCUUAUAACAGCCUUUUAUGUAUUUGAAAAUUGCUAUCACUCUCAGGCCUGGUCUACACUAGGAGUUUAUGUCAGAUUUAGCAGAGUUAAAUCAAAUUAACCCUGCACCCGUCCACACAGUGAAGCCAUUUUUUUCGACACAAAGGGCUCUUAAAACCGAUUUCUGUACUCCUCCACAACGAGGGGAUUAGUGCUGAAAUCGACAUAGCCAUUUCGAAUUAGGGUUAGUGUGGACGCAUUUCGAAGGUAUUGUCCUCCGGGAGCUAUCCCUCAGUGCACCAUUGUGACCACUCUGGACAGCACUCUGAACUCGGAUGCACUGGCCAGGUGUACAGGAAAAGUCCUGGGAACUUUUGAAUCUCAUUUCCUGUUUGGCCAGGCGAGCACAUCGGCACAGGUGACCAUGCAGUCCCAGAAUCGAAAAAGAGCUCCAGCAUGGACCGAAUGGGAGGUACUGGAUCUGAUCGCUGUAUGGGAAGAGGAAUCUGUGCUAUCAGAACUACGUUCCAAAAGACAAAAUGCCAAAACAUUUCAAAAAAUCUCCAAGGCCAUGAGGGACAGAGGCUACAUCAGGGACGCAACACAGUGCCGCAUGAAACUUAAGGAGCUCAGACAAGCGUACCAGAAAACCAAAGAAUCAAACGGGCGCUCCGGGACAGAGCCCCAGACAUGCCACUUCUACGCUGAGCUGCAUGUAAUUCUGCCACCACUACCCCACCCCUGUCUGUGGACUCCGAUGAUGGGGUACUCUCUGCCAUGCCUGAGGAGUUUGCGGACGGGGAAGAUGAGGAGGAGGAGGACGAGCUUGAGGAGAGCACACAGCACACCAUUCUCCCCGACAGCCAGGAACUUUUUAUCACCCUGACUGAAGUACCCUCCCAACCCAACAAAGCAAGAGAAGGUACCUCUGCAGCUGCAAAUGUUUCAAGCCUCCCUCCUCCGUCCCAAAGGCUAUCUCAUAUGAGGCGGCAAAAAAAAACGCACGUGCGAUGAAAUGUUCUCUGAGCUCAUGCAGUCGUCUGGCACUGACAGAGCUCAGCAGAAUGUGUGGAAGGACACAAUAGCAGAGUACAGGAAAGUGGCCAAUGAACGUGAGGAGAGGUGGCGGCAGGAAGAUCAGAGGAGGCAUGAGGCAACGCUGGGGCUACUGCAGGAUCAAACGGACAUGCUCCGGCGUCUGGUGGAGGUUCAUGAACGGCAGCAGAAUCACAGACUGCUGCUGCAGCCCCUGUUUAACCGCCCUCCCUCCUCCCCAAGUUCCAUAGCCUCCUCACCCAGACGCCCAAGAACGCGGGAGGGGAGGCUCCGGGCACCCAACCACUCCACCCCAGUGGACAGCCCAAGCAACAGAAGGCUGCCAUUCAACAAGUUUUGAAGUGGCCUUUUCCUUCCCUCCUACCCUCCUCCCACACCCCAUCCGGGCUACCUUGUGA